GGUUGUGUAGUGUAGGGGUUAGCACGUGAGAUUUUGAUUCUCGAGACCUGGGUUCGAUUCCCAGCACGACCU
rnacentral:tRNA from 1 species